AGAGAGAGACAUGCGCGCAUAUCAAUAAGCGGAGGAAAAGAAACUAACUAGGAUUCCCUUAGUAACGGCGAGUGAAGCGGGAAGAGCUCAAAUUUGAAAUCUUCAAGGUUCUACCUUGACGAAUUGUAGUUUAAAGAAGUGUUUUCUGUUGGAGUUUUGGUAAAAGUUCUUUGGAAUAGGACAUCAUAGAGGGUGAGAAUCCCGUAUUUGACCAUUAUUUUCAGCUGUGUGAUACACUUUCAAAGAGUCGGAUUGUUUAGGGAAUGCAGUCCAAAAUGGGUGGUAAAUUUCAUCUAAAGCUAAAUAUUGGCGAGAGACCGGAUAGCGAACAAGUACCGUGAGGGAAAGAUGAAAAGAACUUUGAAAAGAGAGUUAAACAGUACGUGAAAUUGUCAAAAGGGAAGCGUUUGACACCAGUGUUGUUUCCUCGAAAAUCAAUUAAAAAAGGCAGGAUUUUGUGUUGUAUUGACUUUAUCAGCUUUCUGCACUCUUUUCUUGUCUUUUUUAAUGCACUUUUCGUUUAACAAGUCAACAUCAAUUUCUUUUGUUGUAAAAGGGUCAUUGGAAGGUGGCUUUCUUUUCGGAGAAAGUGUUUAUAGCCUUUGACUCCUGCAAUCGGAGAGACUGAGGUCUGCAGCGUAGAUCCUUCGGGGUUAGAUACAUUUGUGCUAAGUUAUAGCCUUUUAUAGACAACUUGUUGACUAUGAUUAGUCAUUGUAGCUUACUCGCUUAUGCUAUUUUACCUACGCUUAGGAUGUUGAUGUGAUACUGCGAGCA
rnacentral:rRNA from 1 species